AUGGGGACGGGGCUAUAUGGGUAUGUCGACAAAACGAUCCCCGAGCCAUCAAAGACCAUCACCACCAAAACUUCCGACGGGAAAGACCAGAUCGGUCCCAACCCUGCCUACAACCCUUGGUUAAUCCAAGAUCAACAGAUAGUAGCCUACUUGCUCCGAAAUCUCUCCAAGGAGUUCUUGGUUCAGGUUGCUUCCUUAGAAACCUCCUCUGCCAUAUGGCCGGCUCUCGCAAACAUGUUUGCAGCACAAUCACGGUCUCGCGAAGACAACUGCCGCAUUGCCCUCUCCAACGCCCAGAAGGGAACCCAAUCUGCAGCCACCUUCUUCGGUCAUAUGCGAUCUCUCUCUGACGAACUAGCAGCAGCCGGAAAACCAAUCACUGAGCAAGACCUCAUCUCCUUCAUCAUAGCCGGGCUCGAUAUGGAUUAUCAGCCCCUCAUCUCUGCGCUCGAUGUUCGAACCGAUCCCGUCUCCAUUGAUGAUCUGUUUGGUAUGGUGGCCAACUUCGAUCAGCGCAUGGAGAUGUUCCAGGGCACCGGCGCCUUCAAAUCCUCUGCAAACGUUGCCACUAGGGGGCGUGGCGGCUUCUCCAAGGGCUCCCGCUACCCCCCCCCCCCCCAAGAACGGCGGCGGUGGAUCUCGUGGUGGUGGCAAUCAGGGUGGCGGCGGCGGCUACCACAACAGUGGUGGCGGCGGCGGCCAAUACCACAACAGCGGUGGUGGUGGUGGCGGCGGCCACUACCAGAACACCAGCAGCGGCGGUGGCCACUACCACAACUCUGGUGGGGGCAACAAUCCUCGGCAGCGUCCCUUCUCCAACAACAACAGGGGGCGCGUUUUUCAGGGGUAUGA
rnacentral:rRNA from 1 species